rnacentral:rRNA from 1 species
UACGAAGGGGGGCGAGCGUUGUUCGGAUUUACUGGGCGUAAAGGGCGCGCAGGCGGCGGAUCAAGUCAGAUGUGAAAGCCCCGGGCUUAACCUGGGGAACUGCAUUUGGGACUGGUUUGCUAGAGAUCGGGGAGAGGAGAGUGGAAUUCCCCGAGUGUAGAGGUGAAAUUCGUAGAUAUUGGGAAGAACACCGGUGGCGAAGGCGGCUCUCUGGACCGAUACUGACGCUGAGGCGCGAAAGCGUGGGGAGCGAACAGG